UAGGUUGCAAUUUUCUUUCGCACCACUAGAGGGUGUGUAUGGUAUUUAUGCUCUCCUCACGACGAUCUGAGGUGUAGAAGAAGGCCAAACAAACUUUUUGACCGGCAUGGCUGUGAGAACGGGUUUAUGUUUGUUUUGAUGUUUACUUUUAAUUUUGAGAAAAUGGACAAUACAUGGAUUGGAAUAUCCAACUUUAUUUGCAAAGUAUGUGGAAGGAAACUGGAGUACCCGGAAAAAAACUCACGCGAGCAGAAGGAGAACAUGUAAACUCCUUAUAGAAACGCCAACUGGCCCAGCCAGGACUCGAACCAGCGACAUUCUUGUUGUGAGGCCACAUUGCUAACCACUGAGCCACCGUUCCACCUUGUUCUGGAUUAAUCUCAGAAAGAGGGGGAUGAGUAGGGAUGGAUGGGGGAUUCUUUGAGGUGAAAAUGACUAAGUUUCUGAUAGGGUGUACUUUACUGGACUGUGUACAUGAUGUGAGCAGACUGCAAAACAGCAGUGCUGACACAGAGCCUGAGCAGAGGAGAUAUUCAUCCUGAGAGGAAGAUCUUUCCAACAGCACUCUGCCACUGAUGACCAUCUCCUUCUGGGCCUCAGACACAACGUAAAAAACUUAUUUAAAUAAAAUUGUAUUCCUUUAGUCUAAUGCUUUACUUUUACUACUGUAAGUAUUUCAAUAAGGAAAACUCAUAAAGUAUUUAAAGCUUUCAUUAUGGGUGACAUAAAACUGAAAAUAGACAUUUCAGUAAUGCAAUCAAAUAAAUAACAUUUCAAAAUAAACUGUUAAUUGCAAUUUAGAUUAAUUGCAUAUUAAUAAUUGUGUAUUAUAGAAAUUAGAAAGGAACUAAUUUUGGCUUAGUCCCUUUAUUAAUCCGGAGUCACCACAGC